GCGCAGCAGUCGCGAAUACUCCACAAUGCGCGAAAGCGUGAUGGGGCCAUCCCGAGUGCCGUCCGCUGAGGACGGCUUUUCCCCGGUGUACACAGCCGGGGGAAUAAGGAGAGGGCAGGCCUGGUGUCAGCCGCCGCGGUAAUACCAGCUCUCCGAGUGGUGGGGACGAUUAGUUGGGCCUAAAGCGUCCGUAGCCGGCUCGGCAUGUACUCCCGUUAAAAUCCAACGAUCCAAUCGUUGGACUGCGGGA
rnacentral:rRNA from 1 species